UACCCGCAGCACAAGUGGUGGUCAUUAUUAUUGGGCCUAAAGCGUCCGUAGCUGGCCUGUUAGAUGCCUGGGUAAAUCGAUGCGCUCAACGUAUCGAACUCCGGGUAGACCGGCAGGCUUGGGACCGGGAGAGAUGUGAGCUACUCGAGGGUAGGGGUAAAAGUCCUGUAAUCCUUCGGGGAGGACCAGUGGCGAAGGCGUCACAUUAGAACGGCUCCGACAGUGAGGGACGAAGCCCUGGGGCGCAAACCGG
rnacentral:rRNA from 1 species